GAUGAACGCUGGCGGCGUGCCUAAUACAUGCAAGUCGAGCGAACGGACGAGAAGCUUGCUUUUCUGAUGUUAGCGGCGGACGGGUGAGUAACACGUGGAUAACCUACCUAUAAUACUGGGAUAACUUCGGGAAACCGGAGCUAAUACCGGAUAAUAUUUUGAACCGCAUGGUUCAAAAGUGAAAGACGGUCUUUCUGUCACUUAUAGAUGGAUCCGCGCUGCAUUAGCUAGUUGGUAAGGUAACGGCUUACCAAGGCAACGAUGCAUAGCCGACCUGAGAGGGUGAUCGGCCACACUGGAACUGAGACACGGUCCAGACUCCUACGGGAGGCAGCAGUAGGGAAUCUUCCGCAAUGGGCGAAAGCCUGACGGAGCAACGCCGCGUGAGUGAUGAAGGUCUUCGGAUCGUAAAACUCUGUUAUUAGGGAAGAACAUAUGUGUAAGUAACUGUGCACAUCGUGACGGUACCUAAUCAGAAAGCCACGGCUAACUACGUG
rnacentral:rRNA from 1 species